GUUUGCCGUCACGGAGGCUAAGGGAGUGGAUAAUUUGGAGUACGGAAAAGGUGCGGAGGAGAGGCAAGUGAGAGUGCAGAGGAGGCAGAGAAAUAGUGGAGUUGGAGGUGGGGUGGUUGUUGGGAACCCGGAUUUGUUGACAAUACCUGGAGUCGGGCCGAGGAAUUUGAGGAAGCUGGUAGAGAAGGGUUUUGAUGGUGUUGCUCAGCUUAAACGGCUAUAUAAAGAUAAGGUAUACCUAUUACUGUCUUAAAUUUACUAUUUAUAUAUCAUGCUUGCAUAUUAUUAUGGACAAAACUCGUAUAUGCUUGAAUGUUAGUUCCAUUAGGUUUAUUUUGCACGAGAGGAAAAUGUAUGCAUUUUUGUUUCAUUGGAUAUAUUGGUAUAUAUAGUCUAUGCGUAUUCCAUGAAAAUUUGUAUUGUUUUAAGCAUCUUUACAACUUCAGACCCUUAAUUUUGCACGAGGAGUUCGAUAAUUAUUGUAUGAGCAUGUACUCUUGCUAAAAUGCUGAGGAAAGGGAAAGUUGAAAGAGAUUUUAGAGUUUAAUUUGUAGAGUUUUUGUUGAUGACUUGUUUUUUAUUGUAUCUUUGACGUUCAUUUUGACUUCUGAGGCUUUCCUAGAUACUUUAUUAUAGCUUAGCAACUGUUUCUCUCAUUUUUGCAGUUUUUAAUUAAUAUAUGUUGGUUGACGUGCUUGCUUUGAGAGAUAAAUUAGCAACCAUUGAAGGUUAAAUCAAUGCAAAUGUACAAUGUACUUAUUUGUCUUUUUCCAUGGCCAUUUUAUAAUGAGGAUUCAUUUCUUGCUGCAGUUUUUUGGGACAUCCAGUCAGAAAAUGGUUGAGUUUUUACAAAGUUCGGUUGGAAUCAUACAUAGAAACCACGCAGAAAGUAUAACUACCUUCAUCAAGGAUAGCGUGGAUGAAGAGAUGAAGGAGAACAGCUCUGAUUCGGAUAUUAAGCCUGCCCAAAAAAAGCGACUCACUUUCUGUGUUGAAGGAAAUAUCAGUGUUGGGAAGACCACAUUCUUGCAGAGAAUAGCUAAUGAAACACUGGAGCUUAGAGAUCUUGUGGAGAUUGUUCCUGAACCUAUUGACAAGUGGCAGAAUGUGGGUCCAGACCACUUCAACAUACUAGAUGCAUUUUAUGCCGAGCCAGAGAGAUAUGCAUAUACCUUCCAAAACUAUGUGUUCGUUACAAGAGUUAUGCAGGAGAGGGAGUCAUCCGGUGGUAUUAAACCCCUCAGACUAAUGGAAAGGAGUGUUUUCAGUGAUAGAAUGGUGUGUGUCCUACUUACUAUUCUUACUAACGAAAUAUAAUGAAUCCUUCUACUUUAAAAUGUAUUUUAUAUUGUCUGUGAAAUCCUGCAUAUUAUUGGUUAUGGGAUCAUCAUAUCAGAUGCAUCUCAGAAGAUUUUCAUUAUCAGAAAAUUCUUAUAAUGACGAUGUUUAAAAUAUAUUGGUAGAAUUCUGGUACUUAACAUUUAUUAUCAUUUUUCUUUUGUCAAUAUUAUAAGAGAGAAGACGAGCUAGCCUGGUUAUGGAUUAUUGCAGCUGAUUAAUUGUCAUUCUUGUUCGAUGAAGGUCUUUGUGAGAGCUGUUCAUGAGGCAAAAUGGAUGAAUGAGAUGGAGAUCAGCAUUUAUGACUCGUGGUUUGAUCCAGUUGUUUCAAGUUUGCCUGGUCUUAUUCCUGAUGGUUUUAUCUACCUAAGAGCAAGCCCUGAUACUUGUCACAAGCGUAUGAUGCUGCGCAAGAGAGCAGAGGAAGGUGGAGUCUCUCUAGAAUAUCUGCAGGAUUUGCAUGAGAAGCAUGAGAGCUGGCUUUUUCCUUUCCAAAGUGGAAAUCAUGGGGUUCUGUCUGUCAGUAAGCUACCCCAGGAUGCUGACUGGUCUUUGCAUCCGUAUAUAAGGGACCGUGUCUAUUAUUUGGAUGGUGAUCAUAUGCAUUCAAGCAUCCAAAAGGUAUUAUGCCUGUAUGUCAUUUCUAUAAAGGUGAUNNNNNNNNNNNNNNNNUUUUCAACCACACAAUCUUUUAUAAAAUAAUAUUUCAUGUGAAUCAAAAAAAUUUCGUUCUUUUACAACCAUUCAUUUUUCAAAAAAAUACUAUUCCUCUCAUUUUCAUUACUAAAAAAUGGGGGACAAAUAGGAGCAUUAUUUCUUUUUUCUUUUUUUCCCCCUAUUUUUGGGUAAAUAUAUUGAUAAAUAAAAUGCAGCAGACUAAAAUAUUAAUGUAAUCCAGCCAAAAUUUAUUAAAAAUGAGAAUUAAUUUGUUGACAGUAAUGCUACAAUAGACACAUUUUAUGAUAUGGGACUACUAAAAGGAACAUCAAAAGAACGUAUGAAUCGAAACAUAUUAUAUACAUUCUUAUUUCUUUUUCUGCGAAAAGCAAAAAAAUCUAAAACCUAUUAACUCUUCAUAUCCAAUGAUCAGGUAUAUCUAUAUAAAAUAUUUUUGGUUUGGCACUUGCAAAACCCAAACUGCCAACACAAACAAAUUGGUUUAGCAGGCACCUAUGUCCGCAGUGGUGGUGGUGGUCUCGUCACUGGCUGUUGUUGAGUAGGAAGGAAGUCCAAUAGACAGCUCAAGAUCAACUGCAACGGCAGCGUUUUGCUCGUGCUGAAGCUGGGAAUGUGGCUGAGUUUCUUCAAUUGUACCACUGGAUGAUGGAGUUGGGCUUCUCAAACUCAAGCAAAUACGGUUUUUAUCCGCAGUAGGGGUGGGGGUGGCGUUUUUGAGGGGGAGGUGGGUUUGAGGGUCAAUGCCACGGUGAAUAAGCUUACGUUUAAUGUGAGUGUUCCAAUAAUUCUUGAUCUCAUUGUCUGUUCUUCCAGACAAUCUUCUUGCUAUCAAAGACCACCUGCGGACAAAUUAGCAGUAAAAGGUAAGGAUUUUUGCACUCAAUCCGCAAUCAAGAAUUAUGGAUUUAGAAAACUUUGUUGAACGUACCCUUGAUUUUUCAAAAUUGUCGAAGUUGUUGAGUCAAAUAGAGGAAGAAAAGAGUAUAACUGAGAAAUUAACUCUGGGCGACUUUAAAUGCGUCCAAAAUCACCGAGUCAAAGUAACUGAAUUAAUCAAAUUACAAUCACAUUACAUCUUUUCUUUAUAAGUCUAUUGUAAAGGUUGAGUUCUAUAAGAGGAGUUGAGAUUUGUUGUCUAAAAUUGGUCGUCCAACUUGCUCUUUACCAAUGAUUAAUUGACAAAUCAUCGAAAACCUAUUUUUAAUCACAAGUGAUAGUGUGAGAGAAGUUAUACAUGUUAAUUUAAAGUGAUGUGUCAAUGAUGUAGACAGCAAGUUUGAGAAGUGCGAUAACUUGGAGAGGAUUGCUUCAAGUAAAAGAAUGAUCCCAUGAAUCUACAUUGCUAAAAGAUGAGCCAUCGUGGACAUCCAUUUGAAAAGGAAUGUCAAAUGCUCGACUCGAUGGCUUAUAACUACUUGAAAAAUCUCGAUAUAUAAGUCGAAUUUAAGGAUGAAUAUAUCUAACGUGACAAUCAAACUAUCUACUCACGAAAAAAAUCAUCUUAUUAGUGUUACGCCAGAACAAAUUUUGCCCAAAAGUUCAAAAAAUAAUCCCAUAGAAGAAGGGCAUACUUAUUUCCCAGCAGGCUAUGAAGCUUGAUAAUGAUUUCAUCUUCCUCUUGAGUGAAGUUUCCUCUCUUGAGGUCAGGCCUCAGGUAGUUUAUCCAUCUGAGUCUGCAACUCUUGCCACAUCUAAGCAAUCCUAUAACAAGAAAAAUACAGCAAAUUUUCAUUCAUUUAUAUACUCCAUAAAUUGUAUGUCUCAGUAGCAGAACAAGAAAUAAAAAUAACACACACAUACUAGGUUGCAAGGAAAUGGGAAAUGCAAAAUUUAACUCUACAAUUAAAAGUUUAUUUUUAGUUGAAGUCAACAACAAAUCUGGGAUCAAAAUUAUUUUUUGAAAAAAAAUUAGGUUUCGAGUUUGUCCAACGAUUAGACUGGUCCAAACGAAUCCGAAAACCUAGACUGUAUAAAAGUUUCCGUAUAAAUUUAUAUUAGGUAGUACCUGCCGCUUUAGGGAGGGAACGCCAGCAGCCUUCACCGUGAAGAGCGAUGUAAUUGACAAGGAGCUCAUCUUCUUCUUUAGUCCAUGUUCCUUUAUUGGUGUGUGCUUCUAGUUCACAGCAAGGAGAACGUCCCAUCAUUCAAAUUUAAAAAAAAAAAAAAAAAUUAUACAGAAAGAGGAAUUCCAAUUUCCAAAGAGUUCGAGAAACAGCCUUAUCACUUUUUUGAGUAUGAAAAUGGAGGACGAAUGGGAGAUUGGGAAUUGGAUUAUGCGACUUAAGAGAGAAGAAGAGAAGAAAUAACAAGGCGGUAAGUUUGUAGGCAAAUUUUUUUGCAACAAAAGAGAGUUGUGAGAAAGGAGAUUUGACAAAGUCGGUGAGAAAGACAGGUGUUUUAAGGAUGGACACUUUGACACAUGAAUUGGAGUUAAUUGUUCCAAUGGCUACUAAAUUUAUGUCCAUCUCUUUCAUAAGUCAUUGAAAUUUAAAAUAUUGAGUUUUGAUUAUCGAGCUUAGGUUCAUGUCUUAAAUUGUUUACUGAAAUUUAAAAUAUCGAGUUUUGGUCACUAAACUUUAAAAUAUAUUGUACGUUACUCACUAACAUAAUGUUGAAUUUUGAAUAAUAUCGAGUUUACAAUGAGUAAUGUACAGCAUUUUUCAAAGUUCAGUGAGAAAUCGAAAAUAUUGACCUAAGUUAACUCAAUAUUUUAAACUUCAGUGACCAAUCAAAGAUAUUAACCUAAAUUCAGUGACCACUGGAACAAUUAACUCCAUGGAUUAUUGUGUAAAAAUAAUAUUUUAAAUUAUGAUUUUUUGAAAGAAUGUGCCUUGUUUGAGCCACAUUAUUUUAAUAAGAAUGCUCUUUUUGAUAGUGUAUUGACGAAAAAUGUGUGGUUAAAAAAUAAAAAUAAAAAUUGGAUCUGCGUGUAAUAUUAUUUUAUUAAAGAAUGUGUAGUUGAAAUGUUAUCAAAUCACUGUUUAAGAACGUACUUUUUCAAAAUGUGAGUCAAACAGGGUCUCUGUAGUUAAAGUGAAGAAAAAUUGAAGAAAACUUUUAAAUUUAUGUAUAAAAUAUUUUAUUGUGUAAAUGUGUAAUUUAAAUUUGAAAAAUAAAUUAUUUUAUUUUUAAAAAAAAAAAGUUAAACGGGACUUAAUAAGUCAGACGUCGCCAUCGAAAAAUCUAGAUGCAUAUAUGUACUGAACAGUGGUCCUAUAAUUUUUUGGCCUUUUUUCAUGUGAGUUCAUGAUGGGAAAAAUUUAUAAUUAAGAUAUUAAGCAUAAGUUUAAAUUUCAUUACAUUUUAUUUUUCUCUCUUCUAUUUUCAAUCACAUAAUUUUUUAUAAAAUAAUUUUAAACAUAAAUCGAAAAAUUUCCCUUCUUUUCAAUCACUCAUUUUUCAAGGGGGAAAAAAACAACAACGUUCUGUUCAUUUUUAUUUCCAAAAAAAUUGGGCUAAACGGGGGCUAAGUAUCACUCAUUUCAAAAUUAAGAGCAAAUAUAUCAAAUUUUAAAAAUCAUAUAUUUAUUAAAAAUUAUUUAUGAUUUAAUUAAUUAAUUAUAUAUUUUAUUAAUUAAAUAUAUUAAGAUCACACAUCUAUAUAAUUUGGUUACGAAUUAACAAUUUUGUUUGUUGCAUAUUAUUUUAUGGUUACAAUUCAAAAAAUUUAUAAGUUAUAGCUUGUUCAUUGGUCACAAAUUAAAAAAUUUAUAAGUCACAAUUUAUUUAUCAAUCACAAAUUAUAACUAUUAUAAGUCACAACUUAUCAAAUUAUUGAUCACAUAUUAACAUUUUUUUUUAGGUCACACAUUAUUUCUUUAUCACAGUUUAUAUUUUUCAUUGAUCACGUAUUAUUAAUUAAUCACAGAUUAACUAAUUUAAUGAUUAAAGCCAAUCAAAUAAUUUAUGACCACCACCAGCACUCACUAUCUCAUCAUUACCUCAGGCACCACCACCACCACCAUCGUCCUCAGAGCCACUACACUACCAUCUCUAACAAAUCAACAUAUCGUAGAAAAACACUACCACAUUGUCGUACCAGAUCCACCACCAUACUAACAAACCAUCGCCACCAAUGUUGUACCGUCACCACCGCCACGAUGUCCAUACGGUAUAAACUCAGGAUUACAUGCCCUCUUACACAUACUAAUUUUAUAUAUAUAUAUAUAUAGACACCCUGACCACUUUCGAAUUUUUUUUACAAAAACAUUCCAGCUACAUAUAAAUUUAAAAACAUAGCGAACUUAUCAGACCCUGUUCACGUGAUAAAAAAAAUGACUAUUUUCAUCCCAAAAAGAUAAUGAUUAUAUGAUCUAACAAAACGAGUUAUACAAAUUGAAUAUAUUGUCUGAAUCGGCCCGUUAAUCAACGUCCUCUUUUAAAGCUGUCAAAAAUUUCAAUUGUUUCAUGAUAAGAAAAUGUUGAAAAGUAUAUGACUUGAUAGUACAGUAAGGGGAGAGUUAAAAAAUAAUCAUGAAUUUUCAUUUAUGCAAAUUUACUGAAAAAUUAAGGUAGUGGUUGGUUUGCGUUGUCAUUUUCCAUUUUCAUUUUUGAAAUGAUUUUUAGUUUUCCUUGAAAACGGCCCGUUUUCCGCGAUUUCGACAUUUAUAAAUUUUAUGUUUUCAGUUAUAAAUUUUAACUCGUUUUCGAAAAUGCGUUUUCUAAAACGAUGGACCAAAUGCGUUUUCCUCGUUUUCGAAAACGAAAAAUGGGUCGAAAACGACAAAUUAACAACAACCUAAAUUUUUCUACAACACAGUUAAACAGUUUUAAAGUCUAAUAAACACCUUUAAAAUUGUACUAAUUUAUUGUCAUGAGACAUCUCAAUAAAAAUAAUACUUUUUCCUUGCCAUUUGAAAUAAUAAUAUCAGUUCAAUUCUGAAAUAAAAUUUCAUUUAUUAAUACGAUAAGUUGAUAGAUAAGAUAUGUAAACAACUAAAGUUAAAAUCUAUGUUCUGUAAACUAAUAAAUUGUAAUUUGAUAAAUUGGCCACACGCGCAAGACUGGGUUUUAGAGGUUGAAGAAUGGGAUCACUUUUGUACGAAGUCAAUAGCUUGAAGACUGAUGAUGAAAUUUUCCCUAAAUAAUUUCAAAUGCUCCUUUCUUCAACCCUAAAAACUCCAGCCCUCUUCUUUCCUGUUUCUACAAAACCCUCUCAAAAGCUACAAACGCCACCAUCCCGAAAUUCAAGCUUAUAUAUUUAUAGAAUAUAUAGAUACAUACAUACAAACCCUUGUAUCUAUAGUUUUUAGGUCUGAAAUGCACCAGAGAGAUGCAGAAGCUGCUGCGCAGAAGCCCAUCUGGCCCCCCAAUUUUAUCCGUUAAUUCUUCCCUCUCUCUACCCUGCUUCCUCUCCCAAGGGUUUUACAGUACCCGAAAUAGUGUGAAAAUGCCCCCAUCUGCCGCCGCUUCCUUCCACCAACCCCUCCACCACGGUCCCGAAAAUCCCAUAUCCACUGCGGCAGCCAAGAACCUCAAGUUUACGAAACUGGCCUCUAACAAUCGUCAUCUGUGCAGGUGUGCCAUCGAAAAUGGUAGUCGUAGUAUUAGUGGGGGGAGUAGUGCAGUUCCAUCGAGGGCUUGGGUUGUGUUGAAGGAGAGUAAGUGUGGUAAUAAGAGUGGGCCUCGUGCUCUGUGGUUUAGGACGCUGGUUGGGAGCUCAGAUAAGGGGGCUGAGUUUGCCGUCACGGAGGCUAAGGGAGUGGAUAAUUUGGAGUACGGAAAAGGUGCGGAGGAGAGGCAAGUGAGAGUGCAGAGGAGGCAGAGAAAUGGUGGAGUUGGAGGUGGGGUGGUUGUUGGGAACCCCGAUUUGUUGACAAUACCUGGAGUCGGGCCGAGGAAUUUGAGGAAGCUGGUAGAGAAGGGUUUUGAUGGUGUUGCUCAGCUUAAACGGCUAUAUAAAGAUAAG
rnacentral:lncRNA from 1 species